rnacentral:rRNA from 1 species
GAUGAACGCUGGCGGCGUGCCUAAUACAUGCAAGUCGAGCGGACAGACGAGGAGCUUGCUCCUCUGACGUUAGCGGCGGACGGGUGAGUAACACGUGGAUAACCUACCUAUAAGACUGGGAUAACUUCGGGAAACCGGAGCUAAUACCGGAUAAUAUAUUGAACCGCAUGGUUCAAUAGUGAAAGACGGUUUUGCUGUCACUUAUAGAUGGAUCCGCGCCGCAUUAGCUAGUUGGUAAGGUAACGGCUUACCAAGGCAACGAUGCGUAGCCGACCUGAGAGGGUGAUCGGCCACACUGGAACUGAGACACGGUCCAGACUCCUACGGGAGGCAGCAGUAGGGAAUCUUCCGCAAUGGGCGAAAGCCGGACGGAGCAACGCCGCGUGAGUGAUGAAGGUCUUCGGAUCGUAAAACUCUGUUAUUAGGGAAGAACAAAUGUGUAAGUAACUAUGCACGUCUUGACGGUACCUAAUCAGAAAGCCACGGCUAACUACGUG